GGCUGGAUGAUGCUUAGACAGAUCUGACAUUAGGAAAUGGAAUAAACGGGCUUCCGUAUUUGUCUUUCUACCUGUUUCCAAGCUGGGUCAGAACUGGUGGGCUGUGCUCUCAGCAGGAUUUUACUACCUCUCUUGUAAGGUUUAGCAAAGUUCUAGAUAUCUUUAUCCUAGAGGAGAACUCACUGGCUUUGCUGUGGAGGCACCAGAUGUCCCAUGAGUAGAGGUGAAAGGGAGAUGGAGCAGAAGCAAGGACGUUGUCUGUCUUAUCCUGGUAAAACCCAUAGGUGCUGCUGCUUUAUCUGUGAAGCACUCAUUCUCCUAGGAACGCCUGUUCCUUAGCAUUUCCUACAUUUCAGCCCUUCUGUGUGUACACCUGCGGUUUCCAUAUGACCCACACCUAAAGGUUCUGAAUUCUACUGCUGAAACUAUCUAAAAGUGGAAGAAACCUACUUGCACAUUCUCAGUACACUUGGAUCCAAAAUGUCUACACUUGAUGCUCCGGCCCAAGCCUCUGCCCUGUGAUGGCAUACUGUCAUGGAGAUAGUGUGGCCUCUGCACAUGGGCCUCCAAAAGUAAUUCAGUCCUUUGUCCUAUGAUUCCCUUGACAGUCUUUUUCUUUUUCUUUUUUUGAUCAAGCAAUUAUGUUAAAAUUUUCAGUUCUAAGCUUUGAAAUAUGGUUCUUUCCAUGUAAAAAAGUCAACUGAAGGACUGCCAUGUGAUAGAACAUUGGUAUGAAGGUGUCCUCUUCAAUGCCAGUCAGGCCUAAAAGAUUGGUAUUUUAUUGUGUCUGUCUGAAUGCUGUUCAGUGGAAUGAUGCUUUUUGUAAGUGUGAGUCUUACCAAUGACGUAACAGUUUAAUAUCUUUGAAUGUUUUUAAUGGCCAAGUUGCUGCUGAACUUGUACUAAAUCAGGGGAUCACAAAACUAGCUCUUACCUUUCCAAACUGCAUUCAUGCCAUUGAUGUAUCAGUUACCCUAAGGCUCGACUCACCCAGGUCACUCGGCCACACUUGGUGAGGAAUGCACCCAAGUGGCUGUGUAAAGUUGAGAUCUUAGUUGAUGGAAGGGGCUAAUGAGAUCUUGGUAUCUGUUAGUCACGGUCACUUAGGUGGCUUAGGUCCAGCUGUUCUGGAAUCUGUCCUGGUAUCAGCAUAUCUGAACCUUGCUUCUCUGCAUGAACAGAACAAUUAGUGGCAGUUAAUGCUAAUGAAGAGCACAUGACUCCAUCUCUUCCGGUAAUGCUUUGUUUUCCUAAAUGAUGUGUAUUGUUCUUUUUCAGCUUUAUUUUUAAAAGUGCCAAGUCAGAAAACCAACAAGUGGCCUGUGGCUGGGCCCUGCUUGGGACAAAUAGAAACCAAGUUCAUGUGACAGCCUUCACGUUACUAGAGUUCACUAAAGGACACUUUCCACUUGUUCUCUGGCAUUAAGUGUGUCUUUAACAGUUCAUCUCAGCAGUCACAGGCCAUGCCUUGGUCACAGGCCAUGCCUUCUUAAGUAUGUAUGAAACCUUUUUAGAGAUGAAUAUAUAGAAUAGUUCUCUUAGUCAUCUUUUCCUGAAAUGAAACCCAAAUUCUGCUCUAAGUUUUGAGUCUUUAAUGAACUUCUAAUGUACUGAGGCGGAAAAUCCGGCCUCCCCAGCCUGCCACCUAUGAACAUGAAUGUACAAGACCCAUGACUACAAGACUUUGUUCUUAGCCCAGCCUUCUUUGGGUUGUGAAACCGAUCUAAUCCUACACUACUUCGGCAGCCGAGGACACUGAAGCCAUAUGGGGUGGGCAGUGCAUGCCUCCAGUGUUUCUCCUGGAGACCUUCCAUUUCUUCAGAGUCCUGGACUCAAGUGUCACAGUAUUAGAAGUUUGCCCCAGUCUGAGAUGUGCCUUUCCUUUGCUCACAAGGUGUUGCUUUGUCCUCGUGAUGAGUUUAUAAGCCUUCUUCCCUCCCUGCUCCUUAACAAAAACAAUGUGAUGGAUCGGUGAUGUUCACAGUUCUCCCUGUGCGGAUGCACUUGUGCUCAUAGGGUUUGGUAAGAUGAUCUCAAGUAACUACACCAGCUUUGGUGUAGCAGUGAACUCCGGGUGGUGCUGGGAUCUGAUCCAACGAAAAACACUUGCCAUUCUCACCGAAGAGAACUGGCUUUGGGACUCUGUUAACUUUGGGGAAGGAAACAUUGUAUGUUUGGCUCAGUGUGCUUGGCUGGUUAAUCUUUGGUAAUUUCACCUGAAUGAGAUUUGAUGAAUUAAUGAAUAUUGAAUUUAAAACUAAUUAUGAGUGAAAAAUAAAAGGGUCGUGCUUAUGUCUGAACUUGCUGCGUUUCUGAGCUAGCACCAGCUCACCAGGAACCACGGCUCAAUACUCCAUUCAUUUCCACCUGUCCCCAGCAUUAGAGGUUUCUCGUCUGCCAGACUCACACUCCUGCCAGGUUUGGUCCCUGCUCUCUCAGAAGCUUCUUGGCUAUGAACAUGUCAUGGUGUCCUGCAGUGUGGGUCUCUGGUGGAUUGUUUUAUGGUAGCACCCAAGUAUCUUCCCCCAAUUUUUCCUUUAUUGUUAUUACUAAAAUUCCACUAAUGGUUAAAUAUUCAAUGAUCUUUCUGUCUAGCAACUUGUUGAUAACUUUAGGUUUCUGAUUUGUUUUAAUUAUAGCAGUUUUGGGGGGUGAAUAGGGCCUUCGAUUAAUGUCAAUUGAAUUUGGGUUUCUAGUUUUUUGAAGAAAACCCUCCCAAAUACACUUUUCCUUUAUACUUGGAAAAACUUCAUUAAUAGUUCCACUUAACUCUCAAAGUAUUAUCCUGGUUGAUUUUGAAAUUUGAAAAUAGGUUACCAUUUUGAGGCAAUUAGAUAAAAAUUAUGUAAAUACAGACAAUUACAAUGUUUAUAAAUAGUGUAACAUGAAUGUACUAGCUACAUUCAAUGCUGCAGAUUUUUUGGAAGUGUGACAUGGUAUUUUUUUAUGUUCCUUUUACCUCUUUUUUUUUCCAAAUACUUCCCCAGAUCCAAAAUUCUCCACAACAAUUUCUAUGACAUAACACCCAUUUGUCUUAAGUGCUUCAGUCUUUUGUUUUAUUUCAUGCACUGUGCCUUCAAAAUGAAAACUUAAAAGGGACUUUAAAAGAAUUGAAUAGUAGUUUUAAAAAGUUAAUCUGUGUAAUUUAUGUGAAAUCUAACUGUACUGAGGUCCUUUGUUUUUUAUAUGUAAACAGAUCUACUAAUCCUGUAUAAAAGUUAUUUUAUGAUGUUU
rnacentral:lncRNA from 1 species